GACGAACGCUGGCGGCGUGCCUAAUACAUGCAAGUUGAGCGCUGAAGGUUGGUACUUGUACCGACUGGAUGAGCAGCGAACGGGUGAGUAACGCGUGGGGAAUCUGCCUUUGAGCGGGGGACAACAUUUGGAAACGAAUGCUAAUACCGCAUAAAAACUUUAAACACAAGUUUUAAGUUUGAAAGAUGCAAUUGCAUCACUCAAAGAUGAUCCCGCGUUGUAUUAGCUAGUUGGUGAGGUAAAGGCUCACCAAGGCGAUGAUACAUAGCCGACCUGAGAGGGUGAACGGCCACAUUGGGAAUGAGACACGGCCCAAACUCCUACGGGAGGGAGCAGUAGGGAAUCUUCGGCAAUGGACGAAAGUCUGACCGAGCAACGCCGCGUGAGUGAAGAAGGUUUUCGGAUCGUAAAACUCUGUUGGUAGAGAAGAACGUUGGUGAGAGUGGAAAGCUCAUCAAGUGACGGUAACUACCCAGAAAGGGACGGCUAACUACGUG
rnacentral:rRNA from 1 species